rnacentral:lncRNA from 14 species
GGAGACACCUGGCAUUUGUAUUCUUUAAUAUUUACAAUAGUCUAAUGAUUACCGUUGCAGACUCUUGCGAAGUGUUCACCUGCCCUGGGGGAUGGAAUGACUCAGCAGGCUAUCUGCAUUACAGUUGGAAUAUUGUUCCUGUUGGGUGAGGACUCUUUGUCAACAUCCUGUGCCUUGGCAUCUACAGUUCCUCUGGACUAACACCUUCAGCAGUUUUCUUCUCUACACAGCCAGCAGUGUGACAAGCACAUCAGUUCAUCACCAGGUUAUGGGGAAACUGAGUCACGGAGAGGAGAGUUCACCACUUAAGGAGGAUGGAAAGGGUGACACUGUGAUCCUGGUGGGCUGAACUCUGUCUGGGACACCUUUCCUCUGGAUUGCUACCUAUUCCUGAAAAUCUGUGGCAUGAAGGCAUGAUUGUCACACUCUGCUCACCUCUUCUAUAUGUCUUGUUGACCCAGGCUCCUGGAAGGUCUUUUGGAAUCCCUUGUUCUCUCCAGGACUUCUUACCUUUCUACACAAACUCAUUUGGAUCUAUAAAUAGAACUCCCUAGGAAGCCAGACUAGCCAGGCUUUCGAAAACUGUGCUCUGCUGAAUGGUCCAGGUCCCAAAACACAUCUGUAUAUCUUACAGAUGUAUUUCUUAAAGCAGAACAGAGUCUCCUCCCGCUUCCAAAUAUCUUCCUAGAGAUUGGUACCAAGUCACCAAUCUUGACAAACUGGAUUGUGACUGGUCCUCCAACAUAAUCAGUAAGGAUGCAAAGACUCUCGGGGCUUCAAGGAAAGGGGGAGAAGAGACUUUAGACCUACGACUUGCAUGACUUCAAGAGCACUUUCUCACAUAUGCUGUUCAGAGAGCUGCCUCAUUAAACCGUUCCCUGAGGGAUAACGAGGAGAAAACCAACUGGCCAAUCACAUUAACCAGGAAUUGCCUCAAGAUGUGAGCUAAUAUUGCCCUCUGCUGACAGCUUGCUACAUAGUGCCAUUGGCUUAAAAUGAAAAGCAUCACUCUGUCUACAAUAAGAAUGAUUUGGGGCCAGGAAGUGGAGAAGAGCAGAGCAGAUUUGAAGACAACACAAACAUUUUUCAUACCCAUGAAUAAGACUGAAAGACCACGAGCCUGGAGAAGCAGUGUCCUCAAGGAUCUGUACUCAGUUGUCCAGAGCUCCAUACUUCCUCAGCUUCCAUGGAUUUGAACUGUGAAGGAGCUUGGUCUUUUACAGGGAAAGCCAAAGAUAAGGUAAAGUUCCUACCUUCUGCCUAUCAUAUGAACAACCAGAGCACCAUUUUUGAUGGUUAAUUUCCCCUCCCAUCACCAUUUUGUCUUGCUAAGGUGUGUCUGUUCUGAACUCAUAGUGAAAAACACUAACUGUAGCUAGAAUCAUAGAAUAGUUAGGGAUGGAAAGGACCUGAAGAUCAUACAGUUCCAAUCCCCUGACAUGGACAGGAACGCCUCACACUAGACCAGGUUACUCCAAGCCCAUCCGGCCUGUCUUUGAACACGGCCAGGGAUGGGGCAUUCACAACUUCCUUGGGCAACCCAUUCCAGUACCUCACGACUCUCACAGUCAAGAACUUCUUCCUUAUAUCUAACCUGAACUUCUCCUGUUUAAGUCAGGACCCAUCAACCCUUGUCCUGUCAUUACUGUCCCUGAUGAAGAGUCCCUCACCAGCAAAGACCUCUAUGCCUUUGAACUAGUAGUAUGUUACGAGGCCAUUCAAGUUCAAGAAAUUCCAUGCACAGAAAUAAGAUUACCAGAAUUCAAUCCCAUUGCAUUAAUUCAAAUGAAGUAAUUAUUCUUUAAAAACACAGGGCUUUUUUCUUCAAAAAUUAUAACCACCAGUUAAUAACAAUGCCAAACCCCAUCUCAUGUAGGUGGCAAUUGCAGAAGGAAUAUUUCAAAAUGCUUAAGAGAAUAUUCUCAUCUAAACUAUCCCUCAUGUUUUAAUAUGACCAGUGACACCAUUUGAUUACUGCUGCUAGCUGGAAAGAGCCUUGUUCUGCAAAAAUCAGAUAAUGUACUUAUUUCUAAAAGCCUGGAACAAAAGACCCAGUAGAGAUUUGCUGAGUAGUUACAAAAUAGCCAUUAAAUAUAAAUAUUUUUAAAAACAAUUUACUCUUUCCUAAUGCUUUUAGAGCAGCAUGUGGGAACAGAGGCUAAGUGCAGCAUCUUACUGCAUUAAAAAAGGACAUGAUGAAGGUUACUGAGUUCCAGAUUUAACCCUUCUAUCUCUUAAAUGCUCCUGAUAGUUUCUAACCUACAAAGACUAUGUGAGUUUAUAUAAAACUUCCCCAUCUUUCCUAGUGGUAACAAUAAAAUGUUGUAUUUUUAAAACA